rnacentral:rRNA from 1 species
UUCUUUUAGUUAAAUAUUAAAAGUAAAUUCUGCCCUAUGAUUAUUUAAAUGGCUGCAGUAUAUUGACUGUGCAAAGGUAGCAUAAUAAUUAGUCAUUUAAUUGUUGACUUGUAUGAAUGGAUUCAUGAAAAAUUAAUUUUAUUUAUUUUAAUUUUAAAACUUUAUUUUUAAGUAAAAAAGCUUUAAUUGUUUUUCUGGGACGAUAAGACCCUAUAGAACUUUAUUAUAAUUUUUAUUAGCUUAAUUUUUGAAUAUUUAUUAUAAAAUAAAAAUUAUUUUUUUAUUGGGGUGAUAGAUAAAACUAAACUUUAUCUUUUAAAUUCAUUAAUUUAUGAUUUUAUUGAUCCAAAUUAAUUUUGAUAAAAAGAAUAAGUUACCUUAGGGAUAACAGCGUAAUUUUAAUGGGGAGUUCAUAUUUAUAUUAAAGUUUGCGACCUCGAUGUUGAAUUAAGAUAAUUUAGGGGGGUAGGUUUUCUAUAUUUAAGUCUGUUCGACUUUUAAAUUCUU